rnacentral:rRNA from 1 species
GGGGAUUGCCCCAGUAACGGCGAGUGAAGCGGCAACAGCUCAAAUUUGAAAUCUGGCUCUCGGGCCCGAGUUGUAAUUUGUAGAGGAUGCUUUUGGUGAGGUGCCUUCCGAGUUCCCUGGAACGGGACGCCAUAGAGGGUGAGAGCCCCGUCUGGUUGGACACCGAUCCUCUGUAAAGCUCCUUCGACGAGUCGAGUAGUUUGGGAAUGCUGCUCUAAAUGGGAGGUAUAUGUCUUCUAAAGCUAAAUACCGGCCAGAGACCGAUAGCGCACAAGUAGAGUGAUCGAAAGAUGAAAAGAACUUUGAAAAGAGAGUUAAACAGUACGUGAAAUUGUUGAAAGGGAAGCGCUUGUGACCAGACUUGGGCUUGGUUGAUCAUCCGGGGUUCUCCCCGGUGCACUCUUCCGGCUCAGGCCAGCAUCAGUUCGCCCUGGGGGAUAAAGGCUUCGGGAAUGUGGCUCUCUCCGGGGAGUGUUAUAGCCCGCUGCGUAAUACCCUGUGGCGGACUGAGGUUCGCGCAUUCGCAAGGAUGCUGGCGUAAUGGUCAUCAGUGACCCGUCUUGAAACACGGACCAAGGAGUCGUCUUCGUAUGCGAGUGUUCGGGUGUCAAACCCCUACGCGAAAUGAAAGUGAACGCAGGUGAGAGCUUCGGCGCAUCAUCGACCGAUCCUGAUGUUAUCGGAUGGAUUUGAGUAAGAGCAUACGGGGCCGGACCCGAAAGAAGGUGAACUAUGCCUGUGUAGGGUGAAGCCAGAGGAAACUCUGGUGGAGGCUCGCAGCGGUUCUGACGUGCAAAUCGAUCGUCAAACAUGGGCAUGGGGGCGAAAGACUAAUCGAACCUUCUAGUAGCUGGUUUCCGCCGAGUUUCCCUCAAGAAAAAAAAAAAAAAACCUCCGCGGAAACCAGCUCC